AAUAAGAGACAGGAAUACAUUAUCAGCUCAAAGGGCAAACCCAAAUCAAUGUGGCAGGGCAAAAGAAAGAAAAGGGCAUGUAGGAACCCUGGUUUACCCUUAGAAUACUGUUUCUUAUAAUUCUUUUCCUGAGCACAUAUCUGUACCUAAAAAUCUUAGCCAUGUGUCAUUCGACAAAACAGCAGUAAAAUGGGAGGAAGAAAGGCCAUAGAGUGAGUGCUCUGCAAAGAGGCCAAGAGCACUGCAAGGAGAGACAGGGGAACAACAACAUCAUCAUCAUCAUCAACAACAACAACAACAAAAUAGGCAGCGAGAACUGUAACCGCAUUAACAAAUGUUAAACAUUUACCACCUUCCCUUCCGUUUUUGGUUUUAAUAAGAUGAAAUCCGAAGAUUCUGAUUAAUUCUAAGAGCAACUUCUGCUUUGGUCCAAGCUUCAGAGUCUCUGCUUCUGAAACGAGAAAAUUACAGCUGAAGCUCAGGCUCACCCCGUUCACGGCAACAUCUUCCCUUAAGGGACUUUUCAACUUGCCCUAUGGUGUUUUGAAAGUUUACUCUUCUUGGCCCUCCUGGAAGAUGAAUCUGACUUCCCCCAGUGGGCUACCCUUGGGGAAAACUGCUUCUGCCUUUAAUAGAGGCCUGUUUAUUCUGAUAACAGCCGCCUCACCAAUAAGACAGAUCAGUGACAUAGUAUGUUGCUGAGACCAUGGGACCCCAAGCACCUCCAACAGCUGCUAGAGAGAAGACAUAACUGGGAGAGCCUUCGCAGCAGGCAAAGUAUGUACAAAUGGGUUGGAUUGUGUGUCCUCAAGAUUCAUAGUUUAGAAAUUCGAUCCUCAAAAUCAGGUCAUCUGUAAGAGCAAUAAGUGCUCUUAACUACU